UGCCUCAUAGCUCAAUUGGUAGAGCAAGCAGCUGUUAACUGCUUUUGUUGUAGGUACCCUUCGGGAAGCAAGCUACGAGUCCUACUGGGGCAGCCA
rnacentral:tRNA from 1 species